AGAAUGAACGCUAGCGAUAUGCUUAACACAUGCAAGUUGAACGUUGUUUUCGAGUCAAAAUGAAAACAAAGUGGCGAACGGGUGCGUAACACGUGGGAAUCUGCCAAACAGUUUGGGCCAAAUCCUGAAUGAAUGAAAGCCAAAAAGCGCUGUUUGAUGAGCCCACGUAGUAUUAGGUAGUUGGUUAGGUAAAAGCUGACCAAGCCUACGAUGCUUAGCUGGUCUUUUCGGAUGAUCAGCCACACUGGGACUGAGACACGGCCCAGACUCCUACGGGAGGCAGCAGUGGGGAAUCUUGGACAAUGGGCGAAAGCCUGACGCAGCAACGCCGCGUGAGGGACGAAGGCCUUCUGGGUUGUAAACCUCUUUCAGCAGGGACGAUGAUGACGGUACCUGCAGAAGACGCCCCGGCAACUACGUGCCAGCAGCCGC
rnacentral:rRNA from 1 species